CCUACGGGAGGCAGCAGUGAGGAAUAUUGGUCAAUGGACGAGAGUCUGAACCAGCCAAGUAGCGUGAAGGAUGACUGCCCUAGGGGUUGUAAACUUCUUUUAUAUGGGAAUAAAAUGUACCACGUGUGGGUCUUUUUAUGUACCAUAUGAAUAAGGAUACGCUAACUCUGUGCCAGCAGCCGCUGUAAUACGGAGGAACCGAGCGGUAUCAGGAUUUAUUGGGUUUAAAGGGAGCGUAGGGUGAGUGUUAAGUCAGAUGUGAAAGUCUGCGGCUCAACCGUGAAAUUGCAGUUGAAACUGGCAGUCUUGAGUACAGUAGAGGUGGGCGGAAUUCGUGGUGUAGCGGUGAAAUGCUUAGAUAUCACGAAGAACUCCGAUUGCGAAGGCAGGUCACUGGACUGCAACUGACACUGAGGCUCGAAAGUGGGGGUAUCAAACAGGAUUAGAUACCCUAGUAGUC
rnacentral:rRNA from 1 species